rnacentral:misc_RNA from 1 species
AGUUAUACAACUCAUCAACCCUGUGAACAUACCUAUAACGUUGCCUCGGCGGGAACAGACGGCCCCGUAACACGGGCCGCCCCCGCCAGAGGACCCCCUAACUCUGUUUCUAUAAUGUUUCUUCUGAGUAAACAAGCAAAUAAAUUA